rnacentral:rRNA from 1 species
UUCGAGCCAGCAGUAGAUUAGCAUGAGAGUCGACUGCCACGCUGUAGUAGAGUAUCGAUCGUAACUAGUGUUAGAAGACACGAUGCAGUAAAUGAUCAUCCUUGCUGUAUUAAUCAAAGCAAGGCUAAUACGUCCAUGCAGCCGCGUUAUACGUAGUGCCAGCGUUGUCCGGAUUUAUUGUCGUAAGCGAGCGCAGGCGUUUUUUAGUUUGAUUGUGAAGCCCCCGCUCAACUGGGAGGUCAUUGAAACUGGAGACUGAGUGCAGAGAGAGAGUGAAUUCCAUGUGAGCGGUGAAAUGCGUGACAUAUGGAGAACACCAUUGCGAGGGCGGUUUUUUGUUCUGUAACUGACGUGAGGUUGAAAGCGUGGGGAGCGAACAGAAUAAGUUACCUUGUUAGUCAACCCGUAAACGAUAAGUGUUAAGUGUUGGAGGGUUUCCGCCUUUCGUUGUGGCGCCAAAGGCAUUAACCAUUCCCCCUGGGGGGUAGGACCGCAAGGUUGAAACUCAAAGGAAUUGACGGGGGCCGGCCCAACCGGUGGAGCAUGGGGUUUAUUUGGAAGCAACGGGAGAACCCUUACCAGGUCUGGACUUCCUUUGACCACUCUAGGGAAAGAGCUUCCCCUUCGGGGGCAAAUUAACAGGUGGUCAAUGGUGGUGUUCAGCUCGUGUCUUGAGAUGUUGGGUUAAUUCCCGCAACGAGCGCACCCCUUAUUGUUAGUUGCCUUCAUUUAUUUGGGCAUUCAAGGGGGACGGCCGGGGCCAAACCGGGGGAAGGGGGGGAGGAGGUCAAUUCAUCAUCCCCCUUCUGCCUUGGGCUCCACACCUGUUCCAAUGGGAAGUACAACAAGUUGGGAAGUCGGGAGGUUAAGUUAUUUUUUUAAAGUUUUUUUCAGUUGGGAUUUUAGGCUGCAAUUGCCUUCCAGAACCAGGAUCGGUUUAAAUUGCGGUUCUCCUCGAAAGUGGGAAAAGGUUCCCGGCCCAUGGAAAAACAAACACCCG